GGUUAAGUUUUGGUGGUCAAGUCCAUAUCUCAGAUACUAUAAGCAAUAGGACUAGUAUAUUCGGUGUAUGGAAGGACUGUAAGGUGUACAUGUCCAACUGGCAGGUGUCAUCUAACCUUGACCUCAUUUUCAUGGUUCAGUGGUUAUAGUUAAAUUUUUGUGUUUUGGUCUGUUUUUCUCAUACCAUAUGCAAUAGGUCUACUAUAUUUGUUGUAUGGAAUGAUUGUUAAGUGUACAUGUCUAGCGGGCA
rnacentral:lncRNA from 1 species